rnacentral:rRNA from 1 species
UACGAACUGUGCGAACGUUAUUCGGAAUCACUGGGCUUACAGGGUGCGUAGGCGGCUUAUCAAGUCAGGUGUGAAAUCCCACGGCUCAACCGUGGAAUGGCGCUUGAAACUGGUGAGCUGGAGUGAGCUAGAGGUACACGGAACUGCCGGUGGAGCGGUGAAAUGUGUUGAUAUCGGCAGGAACACCAGAGCCGAAAGGGGUGUACUGGGGCUUAACUGACGCUGAGGCACGAAAGCCAGGGGAUCAAACGGG